UGAGAAGACAAAAGUGUGACUUAAUUCCACCACUGACCCACCUUUCCAACUAGCAAAAGUCUCCGGGCCGCAGUUUUCCCAUCUAAAGACGGAGCCAGUGACUGUUCUUGUGGUGAAGACGCAGUGAAACAGUGUGCGAAGCGGAAUAUUUUUAAAGUGGCUGUAAAGAAAGAAAAAUUCUAAAUAAUAUCACCUAUGUGGAAAAUAAAACAGAACUGAGAGAAAAAGCGCGGUGGUUGCUAGGGCCUGCAAGUGGGAGAAAUGGGGAAGAUGCGGGUCAAAGGGUACAAAGUUGAGUAAGUUCUGGGGAUCUAGUGUGCAGCUUGGUAACUGUAGUUAAUGACACUAAUGUGUACUUGAAAUUUGCCGAGAAUGAAACAAGUGUUCUCAGCACACAAAUGCAAGGUGAUGGAAAUGUUAAUUUGCUUUAUGGUGGCAAUCGUUUCAUAAUGUGUAUCAAAACAUCACAUUGUACACCUUAGAUUAUACAAUAUUUUUAUUUACUUCGGUAAAGCUGGAAAAACAAAAUGGCUGUAAAGAGUGGUGCUGAAGUAAGGUAUAUUUAACACAUACAUAUAUACUGUGGAAUUGGCACUAUAGUAAAUGGUUAACAAGUAAUUUAUUUAAUUCUCUUAAUUGAAGUAGGCAUACUAUUUUUAUCUUCUCUUUAUAGGCAAGAAAACUGAGGCACAGACAGAUUGUCACACAGCCAGUGAGGUGUUGAUGCCCUCUAAGGCUCAUGCGCGUCAGUGUUUGUGAACAGUAGUAGACCCUUGCCUGCUUUGAUCAUCUCAUCUGUGGGAUCAGGUUUCUUUCAAAAUGAAGAUUCACUCAGUGGUUGUAGCUGUCUUGAUAAGCCAGGUUCUAGUUUACGAAGUUUUAUUCCAGAGGGAAAAAAGCCACUUCACCUAGAAAUCUUCCAAACAAAUCAACUUUUGCUCUGUGAGUAAUCCAGGCUAUCAAGACUACAUUUUAGCUGACGGCAAGGCCUCUGAGGCACGGAAAUUCACAGCUGAGUUCUUGGAG
rnacentral:lncRNA from 1 species